ensembl:lncRNA
AUAUUUGUUAUUAUUAUUAUUUAUUGGGGUUUUUGUUGUUGCUGUUUCUUUUUUUCAAUUAGGAGGUGUGUUAUGUCCCGAAAUAUUAAUUUGGAUGACAUUUAAAGCAAAACCUUUUGUUCUAUAUGGCAUGCCUCCUGCCUUCCUCUACCACUGUUCUUCACCUAAAAGAGAACUGAAUUUCAUCUUUAAAAUACGACCUUUGGUUGGUAAAAUCUUUACCACCACAUUUUUCAUUUUAUUGCCAGAAGCAAAAGGACCACGAUUUAUGCCCAAGUACAAAUAAAGAUGGACCCAGUAGGUGAAAAGAUUUGAAAGAACAGGGGUUGCAGGAAAACCAGCUGCUAUCGCUCUACUUCAUUUGUAACAAAGCAGUGGGUGUUUUAUGUUUAGUUUCCAGUAAAUCUUUGCUUGAAUGUCACUGCAAUACACCUGGAAUUAAAAGCCAUAUUGUGAAAACCACACAUAGAAUCAUUAAUGCUGGUGAACUACAUCAGCAUUUUAAUUUGAGUGAGGAACAGCUCCACAUGUGCUAAUUUUGGCUGAGGUAGAGUUAAUUUUCUUCCAAGCAGCUAGUGUGGGGCUGUGUUUGGGAUUUGUGCUGGAAGCAGUGCUGCUAGCUCAAGGGUAUUUCAGCUAUUGCUGAGCAGCAUUUCCACAGAGCCAAGGCCUUUUCUGUCCAUCAUCCCAGCCCACAGUGAGGAGCUGGGAGGGGACACAGCCAGGACAGCUGAGCCAGGGACAUGGCACACCAUAUCCCACACCCUAUGGCUUCGUGCUGGGCACAAAUCUGAGGGAAGAAGAAGGAAGCAGUGGGGGAGUGAACACACAUUUUGAGUGAUGGCAUUUGUCUUCCCAAGUCUCUGUUAUGUGAUGGAUCCCUACUUUCCUGGGAAUGGUUGAACACCUGCCUGCCCACAGGAAGUGCUGAAUUAAUUCCUGGUUUCACUUUGCUUGCUCACAUGCCUUUUGCAUUACCUGUUAAAUUGUCUUUUUCUCAACCCACAGAUUUCUGUACCUUUACUGUUCUGAUUCUCUCCUUCAUCCCACUCUGGAGGAGGGAGUGAGUGGCUAGCCAGGAUUUUCAAUGAUACCAUAACUUCUUUAUUCUAAUUUAUUGUGCUAUCAACUAUUUACCAGGCUUAACUGAAGAUUAGAAUGCUUUUAAGAAUGAACAGAUACAGUUAAUAUACUUAAGGCUAAGUCCAUGCUUUUUGUCUGGUUCCAAUUUGAGUCCGUAAUUUUCUGAAUUUAGUAACUUCACUUCUAGCAGGCAAUGACUUUUGUAGGAAGGCAGCAACCAACAGCAAUUAUGCAGUAAGCAAUAGUUGUGUAACAACAUCUUAAUGGUAGCUGGUUACACGAACCCCCUUCCUUGUCCUUCCUGCUGCUCCUCUGCCAGGCACGAGAAGCAUGCCUACAGUGCUCCCCAGGUAGGGUUUUCCCUCACUGCCUGCUUGAAUCUAAUAGUUAAUUACUAAGAAAUAAAUUUAAAAGAUGUAUCACUAGCCAAACAAACUUUUGAAAGUGUCCUCGAGUCCUUUCCAACCAUCAGAAUGUCUUUCUUCUCUCUAAACAUUUAAUUAUAUUUUCUUUGUUCUCCAUUUUGGAAAAUCUUUCCAAUCCAGUAAGAGUCAAGAACCCAAGAAGAGCCAGCUGUGCCUGCACUUGCAAACUUUGUUCCACUGCAGCAAUACACUGACCUUGUGUUGAAUUUGGGAUAUUUACCUUGACUUAUUGGAGCGUAUGCUUUUCAACCUGUAUGUUCCCUCCUUUGAUUUGCAGUGCAUCAGCCAGAAUAACAGGGAGGUUCUAAAGGUAUUACAGGGAUGCUUGAUACUCUCUGCACUUGAAACUCCUUUGGCCCUCAUUAUCUGCGUUGGAGAAGAAACCAGAAGGAUUCUAAAUGAGCAUGUUAUUUCAAGUACUGCUUAAGGCAGGGGAAAAGGCAGAAAUAAGUAAAAGUUGCAGUUUAUUGCUCUUUAUCUCAAAGUAAAAAUGUUCAUCCUUGUCACUAAUGUUUAAAAAUUUGAAGCUGGAAUUCUUUCCCCAAAUAAAUUCUGAUCUACAAAAUCUAAUGCUGGUCUUACACAACUCUAGAAAGUACAGAUUAAAAACCCUAUCAGUUCUAACUACUGACACACUUGUAAACUUACCUUGCUCUGCAGUUUUCAGUGUAGCAUUUGCAACAGGCUCCUCUGCAAGGAUACAGUGCCAGUGAAACAGAUGAGGUUUGGGUGUCCUGCUUCCCAACCCCAUUCUGUUCCAUGCAGCAGCUGCCUCCUGGGAGGAGGGGAGCCCAAGGAUGAGUCACUGUCUGACCCUGUGAGACAUCAUCUCUGUUCCUGGAGAGGCAGACACCCAGCUGCUGACUUAUGCUUUCUGAGCCCAUCUUUGCUAUCAGGCUGAACAGUCUUCACAAUAGUGUCUGAUUUCAUUCCUGAAAUUACUGUUUGAUUCCAUGAAGGAUUUGGUUUUCCUACUCAUUUUGUGAAAGAUAAUCUCAUACUAUUUUAAUAGACAGGGUAAAAUCCUAAGAUAAAUGAUAUUGUUAGUAAAAGUUUCAAUAAAAAAUAUUUAACUAAAAAAGCUGCACUUUACACUUUCAAUAUAAAAUUCAUAGACCCUCCUAAUGUACAGUUGGUCAGGAAAACAGACAAAUCAGAACACUGAAAAGACAUUUGUUUUCAAAUUACUCCACAGGGCAAAUUGUUAUGCUAUUGAAGCCAGAUACAAAAAUUACAGCAGCUUCUCGGGGAACUAAGACCACCUUAUUUUUAUUUGCAGUUUUAUAGUAUAGUUGGCAAAAGACAAAAUAAAAAUCUUGAUGUGUUCAGCAUUAGAAAAUUAAAAUCACCUUUUUCAUCUUGAUUAUUUUCUCAGGACAGUUCUUCCCAUGCACACACAGAGAAUACGAAUAAAAUUUCCAAAUUGUACAAAACAGGGUUUUUUCCUCUUUUUAUUUAUCUUGUUUCAAAGAUGACUGAUCUUUAGUAGUUUUUGAUCAUGUGACCUCUUCCUUUAUGAGAAAAAAAUUAUACUAUUUUUAAUACCUGAUGAUAAACACCUAAAAAUAAAACAUAAUAUUUUAUAAGACAAAAGCCCCAAAACAAACUAAGACAAUACAGUAGGAAUCAUAUUUACAAAAGUGUUGUUCCCAUUGAUCCUGGCCUUGGCUAGCAUCCAUAUUUUAUUUCUUACCAUUGGUUUAAAUGAAGUCAAGCAUGGUAUGAAUUUAAAAAAACAAAUCUAUGGAAAUGCCUUCUGUUAACAUCAGUUAUUUUGUGACUUCCCUGAGUGAUCAAUGGCUGAUGUAGGAACCAUAUCACCCUCAUUACAGAUCCUGUUACAAAUUGCUAAUCAUGUAAACACAAACCGAAAUAGGAUUUAAGGACAGCAAGGGUAGCUGUAGCCAUCCAAAAUUACUUUUCCCACAACAUGGACUAAAGAGUGCUGUUUGGGACUCUGGGAAUCAAGACAGAGCUCAGGGAUGAGCUGAGGCACAGCCUUUGAGAAAUGCAUUCAGCCUUGGCUUUCGGGUUGCAAAUGAUGGCAAAUCUAUUCCAAUCCAAAACCAAUUGUUUCAGCAAUUAAUCCUCUUUACUGUUAAAAAUGUGUACCCCACCUCUACUCUGAUUUGUUAUAGACUCCGUUUUUAGCCUCUGAAAUUUUUCUAACUUUACCUGAAAUAUUAAAAGUCAUCUGUUAUAGAAAACUUUUCCCCCUGUCAGAUAUCACCAGCUGGUUCUGACCCUCCUGCUGCCCUCUGCUCAGCUGAGGAGGUUUCCCAGACAUAAUUCCUGUAAUGCAUUUCUGACCAUUGUCCAAUUGCUCGUAUUUAUUUUAAUUUCAAACAUGAACAAUAGACCCCAACUCAGUCUGCACGGAUUUUUCUGUACUCCAUACAGAUACCAGUUAUCUCCCUCCUUCCUCAGCACUCUCACAUGGCUAUAUACACACCCACACCUGUGCAAUAAAGACUGCCAGUGUCAGUGGGUAAAACUGACUGACCUUAAGCAUUGGUACAGCCACACUCCUAAAUACAGCUCCACUUGAGCAUCCUGCUACACGUAAGCCUCUCCCACUACCUCUUCUUCUCUGUUUUAGAGCCUAACUGUAAUGGGGGGGUUUUUGAUGAGAUGCUUUUACAGCUUAAACCUCAGCGGUACACCUGUGUCUCUGUGUUUUAAUUUCCUUUCAGCAUUAAUUAUUUUUCUAUCUCUUUACACCAAGUAUCUCUCAGAUGAGAGAAUGUGUGAAUUUAUGCAUGUUGAUGAUUUUAAAAUAAAUAUUACUAGGCAGAACAAUAGGUAUAUGUAUUUUGAAGUGGAUAUAGAAAACGUGGCAAUGAAGGGAAAGAGCUAGUAAAACAUACAUUGCUAAAAUCAGGAAUUGAAAAGAUUUUUUUUUCUCAGAACCAUUGCAAUAGCAGUUAAAUUCCAUUACUUCCAAUCUGCCAGCUGUGAGAGAGAGCUGCAAUUUUAACAGGUGAAUAAAAAAGAGAAAAAUGAGGCAAAGCUCUGAAGGAAAAGCACAAAAGACAUUACAAAGAUGAUUUCAGGAUGGGAAAAAAAUCCCCACCCCAAAUCCCUCAGCAAGAUGACAGCUGUGGGUUUAAUGGACUAUUCUUAAAAUGAGAUUUAUAUGCAAACUGCCUACAGAAAGUUAAAAAAGGAUGCUAAUAACCUAUAAAUGCUAAAGGUUUUAAUCUCAGGCUCAAAAAAAUUUGAUGGCAGUGGACGGAAUGUUAUAACACACCAUAAAUGUCCCCAUUAAGUGAUUGUUUCUCUGACUUGAUGCCGUUGUGAAUGAUCCAGUAAAAGCACAAAGCAGUUGUCCUGUUGCUCCUUCCUGCUCCACUUCUUCCCAACUCAGAGUCUGUCAGCAUGGAGGUUUUAGUCUCACAUGCCACCCCAUCACAAACUAGGAUUUUUUUCUAUUACCAUUGAAAAUAUUCUUGAUCUCCUGAUGCAUUCCUUUGCCCUAAAAGAAAGUUUUGAACAUUCAUACCUUAAAUAUUGGAUCAGCAUUGGAGACCCUAUCACCAAUGCAUCCAUUGACAGCUGCACCUUUGGGUGACAAAUCUUCCCCCAGUUCAAAGCUUGAUCUUUAUCCACAGGGAGCUCUGGGGAACAUCAGUUCACACCGGCUGGAAACCAAGAAUGAUUGCUAAAGAUUAAAUAGGUGGGAAAGGAUAUUAUAUCCUCUAAAUUCUGAGUUACAGGCUUCUGACAGCCAAAUACAACUCUUGGCCAAUAAAUGGGAUACUUUGGAAAGUCCUCCACUUUGGGUCCACCUAUUGCAGACAAUAAAGAACAAAGCAUAGCAAAAUUUCAUUCUUUAGACAUCUGACAAGUGUACUCUUAUAAUUUUUGUUCCAAUGAGUUAAGGCAUCUUUCCCAUCUGCUUGCGCCUGCUCUGUGCCUGACUCCAGCAUACCCGGCAGAGCUGGCAGGCGAUAACACACACCUGCACCUCUGAUUUAUACCAAGUUACCAGUGUGGGCAAGGGGCUGCUGAGUUGUGAGCAGGCUAUGUUUUAUUGGGCUACUUUUGUUAUUAAGACAGAUACCUACCUGUGUGUUUAUUUAAAUAGCUUGUGUGUACUGGCAACACACAUGUAAACACACACAUACAUGCAGAUACCACAUUACAGGCAAAUGCAUACACUUCUACAUUGCUGAAGCAAUGAAUAUAAGGUAAACAAGCAAACUGGAUCAUUGCUUUUGGCAUAAAAAAGCCCCAUUAACUACAUUACAAAAUAUGCCCAUGACUAGCAGCUUCAACAGGCAUGUGCAGAAAUACUUGUGCAAUCUGCUUCUUCGUUUAGAGAAAUUGUAGGAGGCAUUGCUUAGGAAGGCAGAGUUUGUGCAAGCAACACAUUGCCUCAGCAUCAGAGCUUUAGUCACACUGUUUAGAAUUCAGUGGUGACAAAAGCUAAAUUCUUCCUCCAAUAUUAAAUAUAACUCUGUUUAAAUGUGGAAAAGUAGCGCCAAUUUCUUAAGUGAGAACUAAAGUGAAGUUUCAGUUUUCUUGUGACAAUUUUAUAAAAUUACCUAAAAGGUUUCGGAAUUAGAUUUAUUGCUUUUCUUUUCCCUCUGUAUUUAGUAACUCUAGCACUUAGUCUUCCUUCCUGUCUCUGCAGAUCCAGCAAGGUAUAGUGAUUCUUGUCCUUCCCAAUCUGCCUGGAGAAGCAGCUAGAAGGCCCCUGGAGAAUGUCAAUACUUCAGCCCUUUCAAUGCCAAAACUCAGGCUGCUGAGUCAAGAAUGGGUUUGAUCUCUCGCAAUCGUUUUAAAAAGAAAUUAAGUUUUAGAUGAACUAAAUCAAUUGUAUUUUCAAUAAAAAUAACAAAGACAUGUUAUCUGAAGAAACUCAAGCAUGACAUUAGCACACGGUGAGUCCAAGAGCACUAACACCUGUAAUGUUCACAGUCAUAGACUGUUUCUGGUUGUGCUGGAGCCCUACCGAGAAGAGCGAUUCAUCCCAUAGAGCUGGAAGGAGAGAGAAUCGGAUUUUCGCUUGCUGGGCUUUCUGCCUGUAAUACAUCUCAGCCAUCCAGAAGAAGCCACUGGAACAAGUACGGAGGCACACUCCAUUUCCCAUCCCUGUGGAAGACACCCAGCCCGUCCCGCUCCCCACACCGCACCUUUCAGCCCCGUUCGCUCCCAGCGAGAUGCCGGCCGAGCCGUGUCCGUGCCCGUCCAGGACAGCCGCUCUUGCCCCGGGGAUGCCGGGGGCACUUCCCCGCUCCCCGCGGUGG